GGCCCUGUGGUCCAAUGGCGAUGACGCCUGGCUCACAUCCAGGAAACGGGGGUUCGAUUCCCUCCGGGGCCA
rnacentral:tRNA from 2 species